rnacentral:misc_RNA from 1 species
GUGAAUCAUCGAAUUUUUGAACGCAAAUUGCGCUUCCUGGUAUCCCGGGAAGUAUGCCUGUUUGAGGGUCAGUAUCAACAAAAAAUCGGUUUGGUUGCAAAUUGUGACGUUUCCGGAGUUUGGGCUUAUCUUAACUUUUUUGGUUAAGGGGCUUAAAAUUGACCUUUUUUGCGCAUUUUUAGACGUACAUAAAUUUUUUUUUAUUUGGUUUUUUUUUAUGGCAAAAACUUAUUAGGAUGG